CCAAUACUCUGGAGAAUAGAGAGGGAGCAUGUUCUGCCCUAUGAAGCUGGCACAAAAUGAAGCCUGUGAAUGAUCCAUCACCUGUGGAGCAGAAUCCUUACGAGAGGGAUUUGUUAUGGGCAGUCCCAGGUGUUGGAUCUUGGAGUGAGCGUGGACAAACAGAGCCCACAAUCUCCACACUGGCCCGGGGUGUUUGUGAAGCUUUGCCAGAGCGCCUGACCCCAUGGCACUUGUCACAUUUAUGGAGGAGAAGGACUAGAGCCCAACAGUGCUACUCGAAAGUUAGGAAAUCAGUAAACAAUUCAGAUGAUGCACUGGAAAUCCUUGUCCAAAUAUCAGCUUAUUUAAUUGACUCAUUCUCACAGAGAAUAACCUGGAGAGUGCUCUUUUGUUUUCCUCCUUCAUACCUCUGCCUCUUCUUUAGAAAAAAGGUAAAUUUUAAGUUAAUGGAUAAUAAUGCUACAGCUUUUCAGUCAAGUUUAAAACGCACAUACCAAAAUAAACCCAAAGUUUCCACUUUGUACCCAAAACAGUAAAAAAAAAAAAAUAAAAAGCAAAGCAGUGCAUGAGGGUUUUAAUUC
rnacentral:lncRNA from 1 species